GCAAACACGGUUUGCUUUGAUGGAUUGAGUUCAGUUUUUGACACGGAACUACUGAUAUGCUGAAUUUUACCAGACCCCCUCAACUUCAAUGAUAAACUGGAAGCACAAUUGCAGCGCCAUCAGUAAGCUUGCGGAAGAAUAUAGAAUCAAAAUAGUGGGAUAAGGGUAAGUAUGCCUUGCGUUUGGCUGUUGCUAACCGAGAGUUGCUAAUAAACGGCAUUGUUUUUUUUUGUUGUCAACCAUUUAUACUCUCUGUGGUGAAAAAAGGCAUUAUGCUGGACUUUCCGCCAGGCCAUGAUGACAAUAAACCCAGCGACGACUUUGAAAUAGGACGGAGAGACGUGCUUCCAAAUGCUUCUUAGGUACUAAGCCUGGAUCGACCUGGAAUUUCCAGGCUGGAAACAGUGCGGCGGACAAUCUGUAGCUUUCCAGUAAACAAUGUGGAAGCAAUCCCACUAGAGAGGCACCAGAGUGCAUUGUGCUCUUUUUAUUACCACACGUAGUUUACUACAGGAAGUCCAGAAAGUACAACCAAUGUAGGCACUAAGUGCUCAGGAGUACAAAUUUGUGAAUAAUGAACGUUUCUGAAUAUAAUAAUGAAUUAAAGCCAAAAGAAAAUAUAUUUUCACAAACAUUUU